GGCGCCAAAGAUAACCCUAAGAUCCACAUAUUUAAAAGUCUUAUAACUUUUUAUUUUUGCCCUCACUGGCCUCCAAGUUUUCUAGGAUGAUGCAAUGUCCAGCCAUCAACACAUUUGUGAAGGAAUUUUUACUCCCCAAAAGAGCGCCCCCCCAUGGCAGGAGAAAAAAGUCAAUUUUUUCUUGUCGCCUAAGGUGAAAAUUCACAUUGUUGAGUGUGACACCUGUACGCUUUGUCAUAUUGACACAAAAUUUGACACACACGUGUAUCUCAAUAAGAUCUACGAAAAAGUCAACGCGGGCGUAUCUGUCAAAUGUACGGUUAAAGGGCUAUUUCGCAUUUUUUGGCGAUUCGCACACAUUGGAAUGUGGCUAACUCCUCCGAAGGCUUUCGUUCCACCGGCACCACAUUUGCUCAGGCCAAUCUACACCCCAUGGCCAUUAAAAGUUAUUCAAAUCAUGACGCUGCACCCCACGGUUUAGGUUCUAGGGGGCGCCAAAGAUAACCCUAAGAUCCACAUAUUUAAAAGUCUUACAACUUUUUAUUUUUGCCCUCACUGGCCUCCAAGUUUUCUAGGAUGAUGCAAUGUCCAGCCAUCAACACAUUUGUGAAGGAAUUUUUACUCCCCAAAAGAGCGCCCCCCCAUGGCAGGAGAAAAAAGUCCAUUUUUUCUUGUCGCCUAAGGUGAAAAUUCACAUUGUUGAGUGUGACACCUGUACGCUUUGUCAUAUUGACACAAAAUUUGACACACACGUGUAUCUCAAUAAGAUCUACGAAAAAGUCAACGCGGGCGUAUCUGUCAAAUGUACGGUUAAAGGGCUAUUUCGCAUUUUUUGGCGAUUUGCACACAUUGGAAUGUGGCUAACUCCUCCUAAAGCUUUCGUUUAACCAGCACCAAAUUUGCUCAGGUUAAUCUACACCCCAUGGCCAUUCAAAGUUGUACAAAUCAUGGCGCUGCACCCCACGGUUUACGUUCUAGGGGGCGCCAAAGAUGACCCAAAUAUCCACAUUCUUAAAAGUCUCAUAACUUUUUAUUUUUGUCCUCACUGGCCUCCAAGUUUUCUAGGAUGAUGCAAUGUCCAGCCAUCAACAAAUUUGUGAAGGAAUUCUUUCUCCCCAAAAGAGCGCCCCCCCAUGGCAGGAGAAAAAGUCAAGUUUUUCCUGCCCAUCGCUCAAUGGCUUAAACGCAUCGCUCUCCCGCUAAAACCAAAAGGAGGAGCCACUUGCCAUUUGGAUACAUCAUAGCUGUGUUUGUGCCCUCACUCAUGGUCCAGACUUUUUUCAAAUUGGACAUGUAGUUUGUCUGCAGCGACCAUUUUGGUAGAAACUGCGCCUCCCAUUCAUUAUAAUGGGAAAUGACCAAAGACAGGUGCGCACACCAUCUUUGGACCUUGACUGUGACGUCACAUUUUGAGUUACAAAUGUUAUUUGACCUCUGACCUUUGGUGGAGACCCUAACCUUUCAACCUGCGAAAACAGCGUUUCAAUAGCUCUUACGGCUUUCCUACAAAUACACUUUGUUCGGCUGCUCCUCCUGUCUUUCAAGCUCUGGUCCAUAGAUCAUCAAAGAGUGUGCACGUGUGUAAUGAGCGCAUAUUGAAAGUUAAUUAUGUUAACUAUGUUACUUAUUAGAAGAAAUAACAACAACAGUCUUUUUGGACAAAAUUUCUUUUUAUUACAGAAUUAGAAUAAUGGAAGCAUAGUCCAAGGAAACCAUUCAAGUGAUGUCAUACCUCAUAAUUUAUUAAGAUGUUGGCAAGUGUGGGCAUUUCUUCAUUCAUCAGGUUUCCUGCAUGCUUACUAACAGAGCACAUCAGUAACAGUGAAUGAUAAGUAUGAGUGUGUCAUUGUGUAAGAAAAGAAAGUGGUUUACUUACACAUCCAUAGAAAAUAGGAGCACAGCACGCAAACAAAGCUUUGCCACGACGGUGGGACUUCCCAAGUAGCCGAUACCAAGGUCACACAAUCAUGGUAAGCAAAGGUCAAACCAGGCCAGGCACUCACGAGGCUGGCUGUGGCAAGUGUAAGUGAAAGCGACAAGCACUGGCAGGAAGAAUAGCAAACGCCGAUGAAGGAAAAGGGUCUUUGCAGUGAUGGGCGUUACCAGAGAGGGCGAUGGCCAGGGGACGCGAAUGGGAGGGGGAGGCGAUCGCGUUGGGGGCGGGUGCAACACGGCUCGG
rnacentral:lncRNA from 1 species